GGCUUGUUUUCAGUUGCCUGCGGCUGGUUAGGAUGACUCAGGCAGCUAAAGCAAGUCUG
rnacentral:pre_miRNA from 1 species